ACGCUGGCGGCAGGCCUAACACAUGCAAGUCGAGCGGUAGAGAGGAGCUUGCUUCUCUUGAGAGCGGCGGACGGGUGAGUAAUGCCUAGGAAUCUGCCUGGUAGUGGGGGAUAACGUUCGGAAACGGACGCUAAUACCGCAUACGUCCUACGGGAGAAAGCAGGGGACCUUCGGGCCUUGCGCUAUCAGAUGAGCCUAGGUCGGAUUAGCUAGUUGGUGGGGUAAUGGCUCACCAAGGCGACGAUCCGUAACUGGUCUGAGAGGAUGAUCAGUCACACUGGAACUGAGACACGGUCCAGACUCCUACGGGAGGCAGCAGUGGGGAAUAUUGGACAAUGGGCGAAAGCCUGAUCCAGCCAUGCCGCGUGUGUGAAGAAGGUCUUCGGAUUGUAAAGCACUUUAAGUUGGGAGGAAGGGUUGUAGAUUAAUACUCUGCAAUUUUGACGUUACCGACAGAAUAAGCACCGGCUAACUCUGUGCCAGCAGCCGCGGUAAUACAGAGGGUGCAAGCGUUAAUCGGAAUUACUGGGCGUAAAGCGCGCGUAGGUGGUUAGUUAAGUUGGAUGUGAAAUCUCCGGGCUCAACCUGGGAACUGCAUUCAAAACUGACUGACUAGAGUAUGGUAGAGGGUGGUGGAAUUUCCUGUGUAGCGGUGAAAUGCGUAGAUAUAGGAAGGAACACCAGUGGCGAAGGCGACCACCUGGACUGAUACUGACACUGAGGUGCGAAAGCGUGGGGAGCAAAC
rnacentral:rRNA from 1 species